AUUAAAAACCAAUGCCCUUCGGGGCUCUCUGGUGAUUCAUAAUAACUUCUCGAAUCGCACGGCCUUGCGCCGGCGAUGGUUCAUUCAAAUUUCUGCCCUAUCAACUUUCGACGGCUGGGUCUUGGCCAGCCGUGGUGACAACGGGUAACGGAGGGCUAGGGCUCGACCCCGGAGAAGGAGCCUGAGAAACGGCUACUACAUCCAAGGAAGGCAGCAGGCGCGCAAAUUACCCAAUCCCGACACGGGGAGGUAGUGACAAUAAAUACUGAUACAGGGCUCUUUCGGGUCUUGUAAUUGGAAUGAGUACAAUUUAAAUCCCUUAACGAGGAACAAUUGGAGGGCAAGUCUGGUGCCAGCAGCCGCGGUAAUUCCAGCUCCAAUAGCGUAUAUUAAAGUUGUUGAGGUUAAAAAGCUCGUAGUUGAACCUUGGGCCUAGCCGGCCGGUCCGCCUCACCGCGUGCACUGGCUCGGCUGGGUCUUUCCUUCUGGAGACCGCAUGCCCUUCACUGGGUGUGCC
rnacentral:rRNA from 1 species